GGUUGCUGCCCAGCUAAAGCAGAUGAGCUGAUUGCUCUGGUGAGAAAGGUGUGUGUUAACAACAGCAGUGCAGGCAGCAGCAGAGAAAGAGACAGAGAGGCUUCUGAUCCGGAGAAGGAAAUAGCAAGAGGGGUCAAUGUAGGCCUACUCUUCAUGGCCGGUGAAGCUGAGGAUGGCGACAUGCUCACAGACAUCCUGGAUGUUACAGUGAUACUGGAGGACAAAAUCAUCAUCCGUCAGCUAAAAAGUGUUCUAAAUGCCUUUGCUGUCCUAAUUGGCCUCUUGGAGACUAUCCAAAGGGACUGAAAUACAGUUUUGAGAUAAUCCAGAAAGUUUUCAUGGAUGUUGGCAGUGCGACAUGUUCAUCCAAAGUUCUUGCACAAGAACAAGAUUCUGCAACAAACAGUUUGAUCAGAUCACUUCAAGUGAUCCGUCUUUCUUUGUUUAUGGAUAAAGACAGCUUCUCCUCUCUCCUCCCCCCACCUCUCCUGCUUGGAGAGCGGCCUAGGUGGUAAUAAGCGAAGUGAGGCUUUUACGGUGAGGAUUCUGCAUUGACCGACCGGAACAGGUCCUGAAGAGGAGAACCGCUACCUUGGAGGUGUCUACCUGUGGCGCUUCAUUUUAUAAAAUUGACUCUCAUGCUCUUAAAACUAACAUUGCCCGGCAUCAUAUCAUGUGAUAAAUGUUGCCUGCUCGUCAUCCAUUGCUGGCUUGUCAUCCUGGAAGGGUGAUCCCUCCAUCUGUUAUCACUUCUCAAGAUUUCUUUUUUCUUUUCCCCCUAAAUGGAUUUUCUCUGCAUUUUUACAUUCCUAGAUGAGGGGGUCUAGACCAGGGGAUGUCGUUGUUUUGUGAAUUGUGAGCCUGUAAUGCCCUUUGAGACUCUUUUCUGAUUAAGGACUAUGUAUAUAAAUAAAUUUGCCUUAUUUUCAGUGCAGUGCUGUGCACACAUUGAUGACUGGUUUUUUUCCUGCUCUCUUUCAAUGCGUACAACCCAUUCAACAAGAGAGGAACUGAUGUGUCUGAUAAGGUCAGAGGAACUGUAAGUUGCAAUCA